rnacentral:rRNA from 1 species
GACGAACGCUGGCGGCGUGCUUAACACAUGCCAGUCGAACGGAAAGGCCCUGCUUUUGUGGGGUGCUCGAGUGGCGAACGGGUGAGUAACACGUGAGUAACCUGCCCUUGACUUUGGGAUAACUUCAGGAAACUGGGGCUAAUACCGGAUAGGAGCUCCUGCUGCAUGGUGGGGGUUGGAAAGUUUCGGCGGUUGGGGAUGGACUCGCGGCUUAUCAGCUUGUUGGUGGGGUAGUGGCUUACCAAGGCUUUGACGGGUAGCCGGCCUGAGAGGGUGACCGGCCACAUUGGGACUGAGGUACGGCCCAGACUCGUACGGGAGGCAGCAGUGGGGAAUAUUGCACAAUGGGCGGAAGCCUGAUGCAGCAACGCCGCGUUCGGGAUGACGUCCUUCGGGUUGUAAACCGCUUUCGCCUGUGACGAAGCGGGAGUGACGGUAAUGGGUAAAGAAGCACCGGCUAACUACGUG